CUUGCUGCGGGUACUCGAGUGGCGAACGGGUGAGUAACACGUGGGUGCAUCUGCCUUGCACUUCGGGAUAACGCUUGGGAAACUGGGUCUAAUACCCGGAUAGGACAGCUGUUUAGUGUCAGUUGUGGAAAGUUUUUUCGGUGCAAGAUGAGCUCGCGGCCUAUCAGCUUGUUGGUGGGGUAAUGGCCUACCAAGGCGUCGACGGGUAGCCGGCCUGAGAGGGUGUACGGCCACAUUGGGACUGAGAUACGGCCCAGACUCCUACGGGAGGCAGCAGUGGGGAAUAUUGCACAAUGGGCGGAAGCCUGAUGCAGCGACGCCGCGUGGGGGAUGAAGGCCUUCGGGUUGUAAACUCCUUUCGACAGGGACGAAGCGUAAGUGACGGUACCUGUAUAAGAAGCACCGGCUAACUACGUGCCAGCAGCCGCGGUAAUACGUAGGGUGCGAGCGUUGUCCGGAAUUACUGGGCGUAAAGAGCUCGUAGGUGGUUUGUCGCGUCGUCUGUGAAAUUCCGGGGCUUAACUCCGGGCGUGCAGGCGAUACGGGCUGACUUGAGUGCUGUAGGGGAGACUGGAAUUCCUGGUGUAGCGGUGAAAUGCGCAGAUAUCAGGAGGAACACCGAUGGCGAAGGCAGGUCUCUGGGCAGUAACUGACGCUGAGGAGCGAAAGCAUGGGUAGCGAACAGGAUUAGAUACCCUGGUAGUCCAUGCCGUAAACGGUGGGCGCUAGGUGUAGGGGGCUUCCACGUCUUCUGUGCCGUAGCUACGCAUUAAGCGCCCCGCCUGGGGAGUACG
rnacentral:rRNA from 1 species